rnacentral:rRNA from 1 species
GAUGAACGCUGGCGGCGUGCCUAAUACAUGCCAGUCGAGCGAACGGACGAGAAGCUUGCUUCUCUGAUGUUAGCGGCGGACGGGUAAGUAACACGUGGAUAACCUACCUAUAAGACUGGGAUAACUUCGGGAAACCGGAGCUAAUACCGGAUAAUAUUUUGAACCGCAUGGUUCAAAAGUGAAAGACGGUCUUGCUGUCACUUAUAGAUGGAUCCGCGCUGCAUUAGCUAGUUGGUAAGGUAACGGCUUACCAAGGCAACGAUGCAUAGCCGACCUGAGAGGGUGAUCGGCCACACUGGAACUGAGACACGGUCCAGACUCCUACGGGAGGCAGCAGUAGGGAAUCUUCCGCAAUGGGCGAAAGCCUGACGGAGCAACGCCGCGUGAGUGAUGAAGGUCUUCGGAUCGUAAAACCCUGUUAUUAGGGAAGAACAUAUGUGUAAGUAACUGUGCACAUCUUGACGGUACCUAAUCAGAAAGCCACGGCUAACUACGUG